rnacentral:rRNA from 1 species
UACGUAGGGGGCGAGCGUUGUCCGGAUUUAUUGGGCGUAAAGAGCUCGUAGGCGGUUCGAUAAGUCGGACGUGAAAUCUCCAUGCUCAACGUGGAGGGGCCGUUCGAUACUGUCGUGACUCGAGUCCGGUAGGGGAGUGUGGAAUUCCCGGUGUAGCGGUGAAAUGCGCAGAGAUCGGGAGGAACACCCGUAGCGAAGGCGGCACUCUGGGCCGGUACUGACGCUGAGGAGCGAAAGCGUGGGGAGCAAACAGG